GACGAACGCUGGCGGCGUGCCUAAUACAUGCAAGUAGAACGCUGAAGGAGGAGCUUGCUUCUCUGGAUGAGUUGCGAACGGGUGAGUAACGCGUAGGUAACCUGCCUGGUAGCGGGGGAUAACUAUUGGAAACGAUAGCUAAUACCGCAUAAGAGUAGAUGUUGCAUGACAUUUGCUUAAAAGUUGCAAUUGCAUCACUACCAGAUGGACCUGCGUUGUAUUAGCUAGUUGGUGGGGUAACGGCUCACCAAGGCGACGAUACAUAGCCGAUCUGAGAGGGUGAUCGGCCACACUGGGACUGAGACACGGCCCAGACUCCUACGGGAGGCAGCAGUAGGGAAUCUUCGGCAAUGGACGGAAGUCUGACCGAGCAACGCCGCGUGAGUGAAGAAGGUUUUCGGAUCGUAAAGCUCUGUUGUAAGAGAAGAACGAGUGUGAGAGUGGAAAGUUCACACUGUGACGGUAUCUUACCAGAAAGGGACGGCUAACUACGUG
rnacentral:rRNA from 1 species